rnacentral:rRNA from 1 species
UACGUAGGGUGCGAGCGUUGUCCGGAAUUAUUGGGCGUAAAGGGCUCGUAGGCGGUUUGUCGCGUCGGGGGUGAAAUCCUACGGCUUAACUGUGGGCUUGCUUUCGAUACGGGCAGACUAGAGGUAUGCAGGGGAGAACGGAAUUCCUGGUGUAGCGGUGAAAUGCGCAGAUAUCAGGAGGAACACCGGUGGCGAAGGCGGUUCUCUGGGCAUGAUCUGACGCUGAGGAGCGAAAGUGUGGGGAGCGAACAGG